UACAGAGGUCUCAAGCGUUGUUCGGAAUCACUGGGCGUAAAGGGUGCGUAGGCUGCACGGUAAGUCAGAGGUGAAAUCCCGGAGCUCAACUUCGGAAUUGCCUCCGAUACUGCCGUGCUUGAGGACUGGAGAGGAGAUUGGAAUUCACAGUGGAGCAGUGAAAUGCGUAGAUAUUGUGAGGAACACUAGUGGCGAAGGCGAAUCUCUGGACAGUUCCUGACGCUGAGGCACGAAGGCCAGGGGAGCAAACGGG
rnacentral:rRNA from 2 species